UGCUUUGUAGCUCAUUGGGUAGAGCACACGACUGAUAAUCGUGAGGUAGCAGGUUCAAAUCCUGUCUAAGCAA
rnacentral:tRNA from 1 species